CGCGGCGCGGCGAUCGCGGCCGAUCUAUCGAUUCGAUGCGGCCGUGGGAGCGGCGUGGCGUGGGCGCGGAGGGAGGCGAGUCGGUGGGCCGCGAGGACACGGACACGAACACGAACACCACAGCCAGUAGCGCGAACGCGAGCACGAGCUCGAGCACCGCCGCGAGUGGUAGCAGCGGGGCGAGGCGGAAUGGGGCGGCUGCGGCGGCGGGGGAGGGGUGGGGGAGAAGCUCCCUGUCGACGGCGACCAUCAACCUGAGCCAGGAGUACACGCUCGCCAUCCACACCAGCUCCUACCACGAGAUCUGGGCGAAGAUCCAUGUGGACGGCGGGGAUGGGCAGCGGGAGGGCGGCGUCAGUGGUGGUGGUGGUGGGGAGGAAGAUGAGGAGGACGAGGACAGGUGCACCCUCGCCGGCGUGCUCCAGCCGGAGGACGCGGUGGUGGAGCGCGCGCUGGGGGACGCGCCGGACACGGAGCUGACCCGCCUCGCCGCGGACUACCUCCGCAGCACGCACCACGCGUCGCUGCUCUGCCUCUCCCUCCGCCGGGCGCUGCGCCGCGCGCGGGCGCUGUACGGGCCCAUCACGGACCUCCUCGCGCUGAUACCGCACGCGCCCCCGCUCGCCGCGCCGCACCGCGACUGCGCGUUCGACGCCUUCCUCCUGUUCGACCAAAUGCCCAACCCGUUCCCGGCCCCCGCGGCCGGCUUCCAGGGCAUGCACCGGAGCUUCGUCGGCCUCAAGAACCACCUCGACCUGCGCCUCCUCAGGGCCCGCCGCAGGCGCCGGCUGGUGCGCUGCGCGACGCGCGGGUCGGGCAUCUGCCUAAUCGCCUGCGCCACCGGCGCUGCGAUCGCGGGCCUCGUGCUCGCCACGCACGCCAUCACCGUGCUGUUGGCCGCGGCCCCCGCCUGCGCGGCGUCGCGCGGCUCCUGCUGCCCCGCAACCGCUUCGAUGAAACGCCUGCAGCAACACAUGGACCGGCUUGACGCUGCAGCCAGGGGCGCCUAUGUGUUGAACAACGAUGUCGAUACAAUCGAGCGCCUGGUGGGCAGACUCCAUGCCACCGUCGAGAGUGACAAGCUGCUGGUCCGGCUGGGGCUGGAGCGUGGCAGGGGGGAGCACCACACCAUAGAGGAGGUGGUACGGCAGCUGAGGAAGAACCACCCGAGCCUGCUACGCCAGCUGGCUGACCUCGAGGAGCACAUCUGCCUCUACUUCGCAGCCGUCAACCGAGCUAGGCACUUGACUAUAGACUCUGCAAAUGGAUAAGUUUCAUGCUGAUAAUGUUCUUAACUGCAAUGUCGACGGAAUUCAUAUUUGUUGGUAAUCUCAGCUUAAAAGAUGUGAAUACUAGCAAUUAGUAUUCUAUCUCAAGCUUUGGUUUGUUCAUCUCUCAAUUCUUUAAAUCUUGAAACAUUGCUGGUAUAGUGAUAUGUUUAACUUACAAUUACAAAAUGAUAUUUCUUUUAGCUCAUUCAAGAUUGCCAACUGCAGUACAAUUUCAUCUUCGAAUCCAUCUUAAUUCGGUAAUUCCCAUAUUGGACUUGAUCUGUUCAUUGUAUCUGAUCAUCCGAUAUACAAACUUGAACCAUAAUAUUUCAUUUGAACCGUAACUUGGCAGUAACCUAUAAAAAAUAUCUUGGGAUAUUUUCAAUUAUCUUGUAGUAUUGUGAUCCUUCCUUGCCAACCAACCAACCAAUCUUGGGAUAUUUUAUGAAACUCAUGAGCCUUUUUGGGAAAAAUCUCUCUGGCAUUAACUGUUGCUGCAUCAAUAACACAAUCCAACAAGCUUGCCAAAUCAACUCUUUCCCUGAUGAUACAUUAUGCUGCUAAAGUGUACUUUCCAUUUUCAAAUGAUGGUUACAUGGUGAAAAGCUUAAUUAGGUAAAACUAUGUGCCUGUUCUUUCGGUUUCGAUAUCUACACUUUGUUGAAUGUCAUAUGGAAAUCUACGAUCAUACAUUCAUAUUUCUUAGUUCUUACUUUUCAGGUUUGCAUGACCAACAGGUCUGCAUUACUGCGACAAAAGAUAUACAUGGAUGCCACUUGGUUCCCUCGAACUUACAUGAAACUAUAUAUGCAUAAGGAUUUUAACUCUCUGAGGGCUUGGUUAAUGGUGAUUGAUGAAUAUACUCGUGAAAUUUGGCAGCGGGAAGUUUGUUUGUGUUAGUUACACUUGUGUAUGCCUGUUCUUGUUGGUGAACGCAACAGUCAACUGUGCUAGGUUGCUCCUUGUAAACCACCUCAGUUGCCAGUCUGAUCCUGACUGAGUUUCCAUUGUCAUGAUUUACAAAUCAAUAGCAGUAUCAACUUCAAGGAAAACUUGAUGUUGGAGAAUCCUUCUAAAUUGCCAAAUGAAAUAUCCUGAAGCGGGCUUAUACAAGCUUGUUGUUUCUCGUGAGGUGUUAUGCAUUCGCUGUCUAUCGCUUGGCGCUAUCUGUUCUUUGGUAUCUACCUAAAGUUGGAUGGCAUAACAAUUUGGUUAUUCUGAGUCGAGUAAGUUUUGAAAUUCAACUUUUGUCGUUAAACAACCACAGUGUGAAAUUUGAAGUAGUUACUAGUAUCUACCAGAUUUUUUUACUUCGGGCAUAUACGCUUAUUUGCAUUUGUUGCAGGUCAAAGAUGAACUGGUUUACCAAUUUGAAUUGUUUCUUGCAUAUCAUCAUCACAGGUACAUAACAAUGUUUGUAUGUGCUAUUCAUGGCUACCCUGAAUUAGGUAAUCUGUUACUAAUUGGUGAGUCAUUUUGAAACCUGAAACUUGAAGAUGCCAUCUUGCUUGCAGUAUUGAUAUUGGUUGCAAGCUACUACUUCAGAAAAAAAUAGCAAUGUUUCUUAUAUUCUGUUAAGGGAUUGCAUAUUUUGCCUAUGAAAAAUAUUUCUGCUGAUACAGGUCUGUGUAAAUUUUGGUGUUUAAUUUGCAUUUCUUUCACAUCUUGAAGGACUGUUACGUGUUGUAUGCCUCUUUCUUGCAAGCACAGUAGCACACACAUGACGAUAGUAUAUCUGUAAAUGCAGAUAGUUUUAUACGGUGAUAAUGUUCUUAACUGCAAUACCGGUAAAUCCGGAACUUGGAGUUGGAGGAAGUAGAAUCACCAGAUCGGAAAUUCGGAAUCCCAUACGACGGCCACUUGGCUGCCAUGGCAUCCACGGCCGCCGCCCUCGCCGCUCGUCGUUUGGCACUGAACCUCUGCCGCUUCGCUCCUCGCUCUCCUCUGCUCUCCUCUGCGUGGGCUCGCUGCGUACACCACGCUCGCCGCCGCCGCUGCCGCCGCCGCACCAUGGGGAGGACCUACUCGCCUCCUCCGCCGCCGACUCUCGACGAUCCCUGGCGGUGGCGGCGGCGGCUAUACUCCCGCCGAACCCGAGCAAGAUGACGAGGAAUUGCACCCCUCUUGUUACGACCCAACUGCUCCACUCGACCCCGCCGACUACAUCCAGUACGACGAGGCGGACGUCGCGUCGGAGGAGGCCGUGUGGGCGCUGUACGAGCGGUGGCGCGACUUCUACGGCGCGGAGCGCAGCCACGACGAGAUGCUCCGGCGGUUCGGGAUGUUCAAGGACAAGGCGCGCCAUGUCCUCGAGUUCAACAAGUCCGGCGCGUCCUUCACCAAGGCGCUCAAGGAAGGAGCUGACCUGACGUUGGAGGAGAACGCCAAACGCCUCGGCAUCCGCCGUAGGCUUUAAUCAGCUUGUGAACGAAGGCGUUCGAGAAUGAUUCAUCAUCCACCAAUCCUUACAUCAAUAAUAUCGUUUAUAUCAUGUAAGUUUAUUAGGUUUGUUUUAACACUUUGCAUUGCAGUGCUUUAAUUUAUUUAGCGGGAUUAAUAAUAACAUGUGUUGUGUUGGAGAACC